rfam:Felis catus isolate Cinnamon breed Abyssinian chromosome D2, whole genome shotgun sequence.
GCCUGGGUGGCUAAGUUGGUUAAGCAUCUGACUUCAACUCAGGUCAUGAUUUCACGGUUCAUAGGUUCGAGCCCUGUGUUAGGCU